rnacentral:misc_RNA from 1 species
CCGUUUUACUUCUUUUAUUAAAUGACAAGCAAACGAAUAUCACCUUGUUCACGUUAAUUAUACUUCAUACCGCAUACACGAACUUCAAGAAAUAAUGUUGCGAUCCGUGAAUCAUUUGCCGCGAUUUAUCGCAAGGAGUAAUCGAUUCCCUUCGCAAACUCAGCAUCUGAAGCAGAAAAGUGGUCGGUAUUUUCACGUAAAUUUCAGUCCAGGUCAGGAAAAAGUGCAAUGUGGUACAGACACGAAUAAUUAUCCCGUGAUAGAUCAUUGUUACGAUGUUGUGGUUGUGGGCGCGGGUGGUGCAGGAUUGAGAGCCGCCUUUGGUUUAGGAAGUAAAGGGUACAGAGUGGCAGUGAUUACAAAAUUAUUUCCAACGAGAUCUCAUACCGUGGCCGCUCAGGGAGGAAUAAAUGCCGUCCUUAACAACGAUAAGGAUGAUAAUUGGCUUUAUCACAUGUACGAUACCGUUAAAGGAUCUGAUUGGUUAGGAGAUCAGGAUGCGAUACAUUUUCUGGCGAGAGAGGCAGCACGAGCCGUUUACGAACUUGAAAAUUACGGCUGUCCUUUCAGUCGUACGGAAGAUGGAAAAAUUUACCAGCGCGCAUUCGGUGGUCAGUCGUUAAAAUUUGGAAAGGGUGGUCAAGCUCGUAGAACUUGUGCCGCUGCAGACAGAACUGGCCACGCAAUACUGCACACUUUAUACGGGCAAAGUUUACGUUACGAUGUCCAUUAUUACGUGGAAUACUUUGCUCUUGAUCUUCUUAUGGUUGGACGGUGCUGCAAGGGCGUAAUGGCAUGGGAAUUAGAAUCUGGGCUUUUGCAUCGAUUCAGGGCUCAUCAUACGGUAUUAGCAACAGGAGGAGCGGGAAGAUGUUAUCUCUCUUGCACCGCGGCUCAUACAUGCACAGGAGAUGGUCUUGCGAUAGCCUCUAGAGCAGGAUUGCCCCUUGAAGAUAUGGAGUUUAUCCAGUUUCAUCCAACCGGGAUAUAUGGGAGCGGCAUUUUGAUAACGGAGGGCGUCCGAGGGGAAGGUGGAAAGUUGGUGAAUUCUCAAGGAGAAUUUUUCAUGGAACGAUACGCUCCGAACGCGAAGGAUCUCGCAUCUCGUGAUAUCGUCUCCAGGGCGAUAACGAUGGAAAUAUUGGAAGGAAGAGGUGUAGGUUUGAAGAAGGAUCAUGUGUACCUGCAAUUGCAUCACCUACCAUUAGAAACGAUACGAACACGAUUACCCGGAAUUUCACAUUUAUCUUGGGUGUUCAGCGGCGUGAAUGUGGAAAAAGAGCCGAUACCAGUUAUUCCUACGGUACAUUAUAACAUGGGCGGUAUACCCACAAACUGGAAAGCGCAGGUUCUAUCGCGUGAGAACGAGGAGGACACCAUUAUCGAUGGACUUUGGGCAGCAGGUGAAACUGCAUGUGUAUCUAUCCAUGGCGCCAAUCGAUUAGGCGCCAACAGCCUUCUGGAAUUGGUCGUUUUUGGCAAAGCAAUCGCCGAUCAAAUUGAUUGUUUAACGAGGCCUGGUGAACGUCACGAGGAUUUAUCAACCUUGAUUGGCGAGGACACUAUUUGCCGUUUCGACGCGACACGUCAUGCAAAAGGUUGUGUUCCUGUAGUCGAACUACGGGAAGAAAUGCAGCAAACUAUGCAGAAAUAUUGUUCAGUAUUCAGAACCUGCGAUACAUUACAACGAGCAUGUCGUGAGAUGACGCGACUUUAUACCUGCGAUUUGCCGGAUCUAUGUGUAGGUUCAAGAUCAAUCACUAAUAUGGAACACAGAAUUGGUAGAAGCUAUAGAAUUACAAAAUAUGAUGUUGUCUUGCAUGCACAUCGUUUAUGCAGCAGAAAACAGAAAAGAAUCUCGAGGAUCGCAUGCCCGUGAAGAUUUCAAAGAACGAAUCGACGAGUACGAUUAUACGAAACCGCUCGAAGGUCAAAAGAAGCGAUCGUAUAAAGAACAUUGGCGCAAACACACACUUACGUGGGCCCGACCAGAUGGUUCAAUCAGCAUUUCUUAUCGUCCCGUUAUCGAUACGACACUGGACGAAUCAGAAGCUCGACACGUUCCACCAACAGUUCGAAUAUAUUAAAUACGGUUAUGAAACUGGUAGAUUUUUUCCAAUCUUUUUUCUCGUUUUUUUCGUCUGGUUCUAUUCUAUUUUUUAAAUUAAUGCAUUAUCAAUGACUAACAUUGUUCGUGUUAGUGUGGCUGAUAAUUUAAAUAUGAGCUCAGUUCGUUAUCUCGAAAUUACAACGACAACAUAUAGAUUUCGUCGUUUGUAGAAGGUUCGUGAAUUCCAUAUAAAUUUUGUUCAUCGCAUUCAAACGAUGCUACAAUAACUAAUUCUAAACAGAAGCGGGGAUUUAUCCAUUUUAUUUACAUAUUAAAUAGCCAACCAAUCGUCUAACAAACGGAAUUAUACAUAUAUGUUUUUUAAUUAUACAUAUAUGCUUCCGAAUGAAAGUCAUUUUUUUCUGCUGUUUACGAUUAUUUUCGAACAUUAUUCAUUCAUUUCAACAAGGUAAAAAUGAUUAUUUGGAAAUUUUACAUCGAUUUGCUAUAUUUCGUAAGAUCGAAUCAUUGAUGAAUAAUUGACGUGCAUAAAAAACAUGCAUGAUAUUAUUACAUUCUAUAUUACUUAAUUACAUUCGAUGUAUAUGAUAAAUGCAACGAAGUUAUAUAAUUAAAAAUAUAUAUAAUAUAAUUUUACGAUCUCAUUGUAUCG